GCUGGCGGCAGGCCUACACAUGCAAGUCGAGCGGAAACGAGUUAUCUGAACCUUCGGGGAACGAUAACGGCGUCGAGCGGCGGACGGGUGAGUAAUGCCUGGGAAAUUGCCCUGAUGUGGGGGAUAACUAUUGGAAACGAUAGCUAAUACCGCAUAAUGUCUACGGACCAAAGAGGGGGACCUUCGGGCCUCUCGCUUCAGGAUAUGCCCAGGUGGGAUUAGCUAGUUGGUGAGGUAAUGGCUCACCAAGGCGACGAUCCCUAGCUGGUCUGAGAGGAUGAUCAGCCACACUGGAACUGAGACACGGUCCAGACUCCUACGGGAGGCAGCAGUGGGGAAUAUUGCACAAUGGGCGCAAGCCUGAUGCAGCCAUGCCGCGUGUAUGAAGAAGCCUUCGGGUUGUAAAGUACUUUCAGUCGUGAGGAAGG
rnacentral:rRNA from 1 species